GCAUCUUCUUGUGUUUAAAAGACCUAGCAAUAGGUAUGCUUAGGGAGGAGCUUGCGUCACAUUACUUAGUUGGUGGGGUAAAGGCCUACCAAGACUAUGAUGUGUAGCCGGGCUGAGAGGUUGAACGGCCACAUUGGGACUGAGACACGGCCCAAACUCCUACGGGAGGCAGCAGUAGGGAAUUUUCGGCAAUGGAGGAAACUCUGACCGAGCAACGCCGCGUGAACGAUGAAGUAUUUCGGUACGUAAAGUUCUUUUAUUAGGGAAGAAUAAAUGAUGGAAAAAUCAUUCUGACGGUACCUAAUGAAUAAGCCCCGGCUAACUAUGUGCCAGCAGCCGCGGUAAUACAUAGGGGGCAAGCGUUAUCCGGAAUUAUUGGGCGUAAAGGGUGCGUAGGCGGUUAAAUAAGUUUAUGGUCUAAGUGCAAUGCUCAACAUUGUGAUGCUAUAAAAACUGUUUAGCUAGAGUAAGAUAGAGGCAAGUGGAAUUCCAUGUGUAGUGGUAAAAUGCGUAAAUAUAUGGAGGAACACCAGUAGCGAAGGCGGCUUGCUGGGUCUUUACUGACGCUGAGGCACGAAAGCGUGGGGAGCAAACAGGAUUAGAUACCCUGGUAGUCCACGCCGUAAACGAUGAGUACUAAACGUUGGGUAAAACCAGUGUUGAAGUUAACACAUUAAGUACUCCGGCUGAGUAGUACGUACGCAAGUAUGAAACUUAAAGGAAUUGACGGGACUCCGCACAAGCGGUGGAUCAUGUUGUUUAAUUCGAAGGUACCCGAAAAACCUCACCAAGUCUUGACAUGCUUCUGCAAAGCUGUAGAAACACAGUGGAGGUUAUCAUUUGCACAGGUGGUGCAUGGUUGUCGUCACCUCGUGUUCUGGAAUGUUGGGUUAAGUCCCGCAUCGACGGCAACCCUUAUUGUUAGUUACCAGCACGUAUGAGUGGGGACUUUAGCAAGACUGCCAGUGAUAAAUUGGAGGAAGGUGGUGACGAAGGCAAAUCAUCAUGCCCCUUAUGACCUGGGCUACAAACGUGAUACAAUGGCUGUUACAAAGGGUAGCUGAAGCGCAAGUUUUUGGCGAAUCUCAAAAAAACAGUCUCAGUUCGGAUUGAAAUCUGCAACUCGACUUCAUGAAGUUGGAAUCGCUAGUAAUCGCGAUCAGCAUGUCGCGGUGAAUACG
rnacentral:rRNA from 1 species